GACGAACGCUGGCGGCGUGCUUAACACAUGCAAGUCGAACGGAAAGGCCCUGCUUUUGGGGGGUGCUCGAGUGGCGAACGGGUGAGUAACACGUGAGUAACCUGCCGUGGACGUUGGGAUAACGUCAGGAAACUGAGUCUAAUACCGGAUAGGAGCUCCUGCUGCAUGGUGGGGGUUGGAAAGUGUCGGCGGUUGGGGAUGGACUCGCGGCUUAUCAGCUUGUUGGUGGGGUAGUGGCUUACCAAGGCUUUGACGGGUAGCCGGCAUGAGAGGGUGACCGGCCACAUUGGGACUGAGAUACGGCCCAGACUCCUACGGGGGGCAGCAGGGGGGAAUAUUGCACAAUGGGCGGAAGCCUGAUGCAGCAACGCCGCGUGCGGGAUGACGGCCUUCGCGUUGUAAACCGCUUUCGCCUGUGACGAAGCGUGAGUGACGGUAAUGUGUAAAGAAGCACCGGCUAACUACGUG
rnacentral:rRNA from 1 species